CCUACGGGAGGCAGCAGUGGGGAAUAUUGGGCAAUGGACGCAAGUCUGACCCAGCAACGCCGCGUGAAGGAAGAAGGCUUUCGGGUUGUAAACUUCUUUUAAGGGGGAAGAGCAGAAGACGGUACCCCUUGAAUAAGCCACGGCUAACUACGUGCCAGCAGCCGCGGUAAUACGUAGGUGGCAAGCGUUGUCCGGAUUUACUGGGUGUAAAGGGCGUGCAGCCGGAGAUACAAGUCAGAUGUGAAAUCCACGGGCUCAACCCCGGAGCUGCAUUGGAAACUGUGAGGCUGGAGUGUCGGAGAGGCAGGCGGAAUUCCUAGUGUAGCGGUGAAAUGCGUAGAUAUUAGGAGGAACACCAGUGGCGAAGGCGGCCUGCUGGACGAUGACUGACGCUGAGGCUCGAAAGCGUGGGGAGCAAACAGGAUUAGAUACCCGAGUAGUC
rnacentral:rRNA from 1 species